rnacentral:tRNA from 1 species
AAGUAAGAAGCGAUACAUCGCAAUCAGUUUCGACCUGAUCAAAUAGAUAUAAACUUAUCCUUAUUUA